rnacentral:rRNA from 1 species
GUGAUAAGGUCCGUGUUCGAAAGGGAAACAGCCCAGACCACCAGCUAAGGUCCCAAAAUAUAUGUUAAGUGGAAAAGGAUGUGGCGUUGCCCAGACAACUAGGAUGUUGGCUUAGAAGCAGCCAUCAUUUAAAGAGUGCGUAAUAGCUCACUAGUCGAGUGACACUGCGCCGAAAAUGUACCGGGGCUAAACAUAUUACCGAAGCUGUGGAUUGUCCUUUGGACAAUGGUAGGAGAGCGUUCUAAGGGCGUUGAAGCAUGAUCGUAAGGACAUGUGGAGCGCUUAGAAGUGAGAAUGCCGGUGUGAGUAGCGAAAGACGGGUGAGAAUCCCGUCCACCGAUUGACUAAGGUUUCCAGAGGAAGGCUCGUCCGCUCUGGGUUAGUCGGGUCCUAAGCUGAGGCCGACAGGCGUAGGCGAUGGAUAACAGGUUGAUAUUCCUGUACCACCUAUAAUCGUUUUAAUCGAUGGGGGGACGCAGUAGGAUAGGCGAAGCGUGCGAUUGGAUUGCACGUCUAAGCAGUAAGGCUGAGUAUUAGGCA